rnacentral:lncRNA from 1 species
AGAAAGUUGAACAAUGCUACGAGUUUGAAAGAGGUAAAUUCUGGACGGUUGUAUUCUAUACACUUGGUUAUAACGGAAAAUGGUAAUUGUAAAUCUCAGAUACAUAUACUGCUCUUCAGUUGAUGCAUACCUCAGACCUGAGUAUUUACCACACUUUGUGGUCAGUAUAGUAGCAUAGUAGCAUGUGAUUGUUUUCUGAGUUUAUUUUCAGUAUACUUGUGAUACUAGAUAGUUAAGAAGAAUAGGCAACAAUACACGACUGCCAGUUUGAUUAGUAAACACUUAAAAAUGCCUUUUGUACUCAAAUAAAUAUGAAUUUUACUCGGUAGACAUUGUCAAUAUUCCAAUUUCAGGUUCUUAAAUAUAAUGUUCGACUAGAGGCACUUGCAAAAUUCUUAUUAUUGAAACUGUGAGUCCUAGCAGAGAGAUUACAUUUCAUGAUUUAUUUAUCUCAGAGAUGUAACAAAUAGCAGCUUUUCAGCUCCGCGUUGUACUCCUAUUUGCACCUUACUUUGGCCUUUCUUUUAAUUUUUGUACUUAUCUUGACCCUUAGUUCCUUUAUGCAGUUUUUUUUUUUUUACCAAUACUAGCCAAAACAUCUUGCCCAAUGUAAACAUGAUGAUGCAGGUGACCCGGAGAAUAUGUAAAUAUGCAGGAUCUGUGGACUUUGAUCUCAAUCAAUCCAGUGAUUUAUUAGGGUACAAUCUAAAGGUAAACUGAAAUCGGAUGAAAGUAGCUUGAUUAAAUAUCAAACUUUUGGUAUUGAGCGAUUAAUGAGUGUCGUAUGCUUGAGUGUUAUACUUUCAACAAACAUUGCAUUGAGUGUAUAUACGAAUCCUGUUUGUAUAUGCCCUUCUAUCUUUUGUUAUCAUAUGAAUGUUCAUUUGUGUGCUGCAGGAGUUGAUUUUUUUAAAGUCUUGAAGCAUUUGGUCUACCUCAAUGCCAACAAAUGAUGUGCAACAGUUCUCCAAGGUAGGUUCCAUCAAGCUAUUUGAAAAUUUUGGGUUAGAAUGUUAUGGCAUGCUUAAAUAUCAACAAAUUUAUUUGUAAGAUAAUAUAUAUCAUGUUUGAAAAUUGAUGCUCAUGUCGGGGAUGUAAAUGAUCUUGGCACUGGUUACCCGAAAUAACAAUUAUGUGUAGUUAUGUUGAGAUGCAAGUAGAUGAUGCUAACAUCUAAACUCUUCUAGCGGGAAUCUAUAAUCUCCAGUUGAAUUAUUCUAGGAGCAAUAAUUUGAAUUACGUUCGAUAGUUGUGAAUUCUUCCCAGAGUAAAAAUUUGAAUUACAUUCGAUAUAAUAGAAAUUAGAGGGGAAUAAAGCUGUUUAAUUUUGAAUGAUAUGAGGCUCUUGAGCACUUGAUAUGCCCUUAACAGACAAAUAGAUCUCAGGUAUAUCUUAGGAAAUGAAGAUAAAGACUCAUUUGAACCAUGUGUUGUGUUAUUUAUCACUGCUUAGUAGAAAACGUAACAUUCUUACUACUAUUAUUUCUAGGAAAAUCACAAUUGAUAGUUUGUCACCUUGUUAGUUAUAAUUUCAGAAGGCAUAUAAUAUAUACAUAGAUCUGGCCUAAGUGUUGUCCCACUGCAGGUGUCUUUGUAAUCUAGAGCUAAGAUGGUUGCGCCAAGUUCAAGAAUUGCACCAUGGUAAACAAGAAGAAUCCGUAGAAUUAUGACUAAAGUGUAGUAGGAAUACACCCGACAAUAACAUUCUACAGACUACUUCAAUUGGCAUGGCAG